AGAAAGAGCUAACAUAUUAUUCAUGUCUAUUUGAGAUGCAUUUGAGAGCAACAAAAUUCGCAUUUACGAUUGAAAAAGAAAAAAUGUGAGCUAAGAGGUCACAAAUAAGAGUUUGAAUUCAUCUUAAUCAAACCAUGAGUUUUAAAUUAGUGCUAAAAUUCAUCUCAACCAAAUUGUGUUUUAUGAAAUUAAAGUUACAAGUAGUCGUUAGGGUUUAAAUUACUGUUAUAAAUGAAGCGGAGAAUUCGAUUGUCAUCUAGG
rnacentral:lncRNA from 1 species